CCUAAGUAGGUGAUUUUUAGGUAUCUUGUCUAUUUGUAUGACUCAUGACAGGCUGAGAAGGUGUGGGCUUCCCUUCAGCUGCCACUCCCUCCAUCAGGAGGAGUGGUUCUGCGGAGUUCGGAGUUCGGAGUUCGCUGUAUGUCUCCUCACCGCACCCAAGCUCCCGUCUGCAGCUCUCGGAGCACCUAUCAGCGCUGUAUGGGAAAAGAUGGCUUUCCUCAAUAGAAUGAGCUAAAGUUGGUCCUGGCCCAACCUUUAUGUGAAGUUGUCACCAGAACCAAAACAGGACCCUCCCACUCCCCAAUACCUUAGCUAUAAUCACCUAGCUAGAUAGGCUGCUGAAAAUAUAUAUUUAACCUACCUACAGCUAGAUCUUGGAAGGCCUGACCCAUGUACAGGUCACUGGAUAAGGUUGUUAAAGCAUGCCAUGGGCGCUGGGUAAAACAUUCUAAAUCUCCUUGUUAGUGGGAGAGGCUCAGUAACUGACAGCGGAUGAAAAAAACCUGUUAAUUGCGAACUUCCAACAUCAAGCCUAAUAAUGCUAAUAAUGGCUGUCCUCCAUUAUGCAACAGCCAUG
rnacentral:lncRNA from 1 species